GACGGGGGCCCGCACAAGCGGUGGAGCAUGUGGUUUAAUUCGAUGAUACGCGAGGAACCUUACCUGGGCUCAAAUGUAUGUUGACGUAUUCUGAAAGGGAUACUUCUUCGGACAAUAUACAAGGUGCUGCAUGGUUGUCGUCAGCUCGUGCCGUGAGGUGUCGGGUUAAGUCCCAUAACGAGCGCAACCCCUAUCAUUAGUUGCCAUCAGGUCAAGCUGGGGACUCUAAUGAAACUGCCUACGCAAGUAGUGAGGAAGGUGGGGAUGACGUCAAAUCAGCACGGCCCUUACGUCCAGGGCUACACACGUGCUACAAUGGCCGAUACAGAGGGCAGCUACCUGGUGACAGGAUGCAAAUCUCCAAAGUCGGUCUCAGUUCGGAUCGGAGUCUGCAACCCGACUCCGUGAAGUUGGAUUCGCUAGUAAUCGCGCAUCAGCCAUGGCGCGGUGAAUACGUUCCCGGGCCUU
rnacentral:rRNA from 1 species